rnacentral:rRNA from 1 species
CAGAGGUCCCAAGCGUUGUUCGGAUUCAUUGGGCGUAAAGGGUGCGUAGGUGGCGAUGUAAGUCUGGUGUGAAAUCUCGGGGCUCAACCUCGAAAUGGCAUUGGAUACUGCGUUGCUUGAGGAUUGUAGAGGAGAGUGGAAUUCACGGUGUAGCAGUGAAAUGCGUAGAUAUCGUGAGGAAGACCAGUUGCGAAGGCGACUCUCUGGGCAAUUCCUGACACUGAGGCACGAAGGCCAGGGGAGCAAACGGGAUUAGAUACCCCGGUAGUCCUGGCAGUAAACGGUGCACGUUUGGUGUGGGCGGGUUCAGACCCCGUCCGUGCCGGAGCUAACGCGUUAAACGUGCCGCCUGGGAAGUACGGUCGCAAGAUUA